rnacentral:lncRNA from 1 species
UUCCGUGACAUACACUUGCGGUAAGGAAAUUCACUUUUGGGAGCCAAUGAAGUUUUUGGCGCCGUUGCCGAGGAGUAUACUUUCGCUUAAGAGGACCACAAGAGGUGUGCUAGAACACGAACCUCAGUCCUUGCAAAAAUUCAUUGAAUUGCUUCAUCAUCAUCUACUACAACAAGAAAAUCUACGAUUAAGGCCUUAUCGGUAACCUUGUUUCAUCUUUUUUGUGUGUGUUAGUUUUAGGAUUACUUGCUUUAUUAUUUUUUAUUUUUAUUUUUAUUUUUUUAGGUGUAUAGGCAUCAAUUUAAAUAAGAGGCAGAUUUAAAGGUGGUUAGGCUCUAUGCUAAAUUUUUGUCGGUAGUAUUGUUUUUCAUGUGGAGAUUGGCGAAUCGAUUGGGAAUAAUUAAUUAAUUUGUUGGUAUCAGUGCGAUUGGUUGGAAUAUACGUGCUCUUUGUGUGCAUUGC